rnacentral:snRNA from 1 species
UAAGCUGUCCUUGAGCGAUCAAAGUGUAGUAUCUAUUUAUAUCAGCUUAAUAUCUGAUUUGGCCCCUAUUUGAGGGCCACCAACUAAACUGAUUUUUAGAAUGAGACAAAGAGUUAAGAGCUUAUUCUUUGCUUCAGUCUUUUCUUAAGCUGGCAGAAUCAUAAGUGCACUGAACAAAAU